UCGCCCUCCCCUGUCCUAAAAAAAAAAACCUAUCCCCUUCUCUCCCGGCUCCUCUGCCAUGCCUCAUCCGCUUCCACCGCGCCGCCUCUUCUCCACGGCCUCCUCCUCCUCCACCAUUCACGUUGUCUUCCGAACCAUCACCACCCACCUUGAGCAGAGCAAAGGAACAUGGAGGUCAUGAAGUUGCGGAGAUUCGGCGCCGUGUGGUGGCAGGGACGGGACAUCUUCGGCCGACGUGCCUGAUUCGGGGCUGCAACGGCGGGGGUCAAGGGGCUCCACGGAGGCCACACUCUCCCGGAGGUUCGAGAUCAAGCCGGAUUUGCACGUCACUUACCUAUGUCGGUGUCGCAACCAUGGAUCAGGCUUGGUCAGCCCGUGCAAUCCCAUCAUCAUGCCCGUGCCACCUAUGGACAAGACUGAGGAGAUGGUCCGCCUCGAGCUGGAGGACAAGCGCAUCCCCUCAGCUACCAUCUGUAGAUGCAGAACCGGAACAUCGUCAGGUAUGCUGCCUCCAUCUUGUCUUCCUCUCUUUCCCGUGCUACGGCCGCUGUUGCAUCAGGUUUGGUGUAUAUUUGGUUGCUACCUAAUGGAUGGAUGGGUUGAGUGGUGUCAAAGUUGAAAAGCUGAGCACAUCACAUAUACACUUAAAGUACUUUUCAAAUGGCUCUAUUUGUUUUGGCAUUUGUACUUCUGUAGCGGUUGUAGGAAAGAGAACACCAAAUCUGGAGUACAUACAGUUGUGCUUUCUUCUGCAUUUGAACAUAGGUUUUAGUAUAGCUAAAGUUCUAUGGUUUGUAUACUGUAUGCGAUCCCUACAAAUUGUUCAGAAAUGCAAGUGCCGUCUUGGAACAGAGCAGGUAUGGUAUGAAUAGGAAAAUGUUUUUGUUUUAUUUGAUAAUGCAUCAUAUUUCUAUUUCCUAAUUGAUAGGCCAAAGCUUUAGUUCUAAUGUUCUUUAUUGUUUCGCCAGUACCAAUUGAACUCUUCUAAGAUCGUGUGAUAAACUUUUAGUGGCACAUGUAUCACACUCAGGUGAUCAUUUGUUCAGGCACAUGCAUCGGGUUGUUUGAUAGAGGAACUGAAGUGCAAGGGACAGUAGUAUUACUAUGCACUUUUCAAUUCUUAGUUUGAUAUGGCUCGUACUUUGGUUUGUCAAUUUUGUAGAGCAUAUGACAGGGCUGAUGUUCGCUUCAGUGCAAUAGAAGAUGUUAUUUAUUCUGACUCUACUUUGCUUCCUAUACAUAUAUUUUACCUACAACUGAAACAAAGGUUCUCUUAUAAAACCUCUCUGGGUCAUUGUCAAUUCUAAAGAUUUGCUUCUAUUGUUUCUGAGGCAAGUGGUUCAGAAGUUCACAAGGUUGGAAUAUGUAGCUAUGCUCGAAUUUUCUCGAGAAGGUCUUAAGCCUAAUCUCUCGUCCACUACUACAAUCGUACGCCUCCACUUGAUGCGUUGCUCUGAUUCAAACCUCUGCUUGGGUGCUCUGAGGUGAGGCCUUCAAGCACCUCAUCUGGCGUUGUGAUGCAAGGAUACUAAUGUGAUAAUUUCAUGUAUUGCCUAAUACUGCAAGUAUCUACCGGUGGUUUCAUAUUCAUGAUUCUUUCUUUUAAUAAUUUUGUAAAUUCUUAUGCUACGCAUUUCCCCAUGUCAAUCCUGAUGAUUUCUCGUACUAAAAACAAUUUGUAUUUAUUAUUUGUUCCUAUCUGUUCUUCCUUUUACUAAUAGAAGCUAAUGAGAUCAUUAUCAUAUGAAGUUAGACUGUAAGAUCCUAAGUCAAUUUACUUGGAUGCCCAUUCUAUUUUAUUAUCUUGGUCAGUGCAUUGUAUUUAUCGGAAUAUUGCAACUACACUAUAUAUCUUCCUUGCAUGUUCUUCCUUUGACUAUUAGAAGUUAAAUUGAGUUGUGGAUCAAACGAGAUCAUAUUACGAAGUAAGAGAUCAUCUUAUCAAGUAAAGACUGUAAGACCCUAGCUUCUAGCUUUGGUUGGACACGGAUCAGUUUUGUCCCUCUUUACUGCGAACAAAUAUUGCACUGUUUGUUUAACAAUAUUAUGUGUUUGUGCUCUCAUAUUCCUCUUUUUCAGGCCGGUUCUUGUCUCACCAUCUCGCGUGCUUUGCUCAUGUGCUCAUCUCUUCGUGUUAAGGUUUGCUUGUUUCUUUCUCUCCACAUGGUGUAUUUUUUGUUGCACUUGGUUUACUGAUCGUUGUUGCGUGGCGUGUUCGGUUCUUCUAUUUCUUAUUGUUUUAUGAUGCUCGAUGGCAUGCGCACUGUUAUUUCCUUUGUUAUCUAUUUACUUUAUCUAGAUGCUCCUAGAGAAUACUUUGUUCCUAUUCUAUAUAGUAAAUGGAAACACUUUAGUUAUAUCCUAGAACAUGGCAUGGUUAAUUGGUACUUGUACUACGUAAUGGAUGCUUUUUUUACCUUGUGGGGGAUAUGAGAGAGUUUUUCGUCCUACUCCAUUAACUUCAUAUAUACAAUACUACCCUUUCAAGAUUUUAAUGAGUACGUACUGUAAUACAACUCAAUCUUGCUAAUUCCACUUUGAGAUGAACCUGCAUUUCGUCUCUUCGGAUGGUAAAAUAUCACCAAUAGAUCAUCAAAAUGAAUUUGGGAGUUUCAUUCAUGUAACCUAACCUUGGCACACAAAUUUAGCUCUUCAGGUUGGUAGAGAACCUAAUUUUUUACAGUAAUGGCAAUAAUCAAUGCAUCUCUAUUCAUAUAGUCUCCCCAUUUUUGAAGCACACUAAUUUGUUUGACGUGAAAUGUAAACUGAACUUUAUGCACCCCUUUAUGAAUAGCUGGAGCUAUAAUCAUUCUCAUUUUGACUCAACUUGAGUACAGGGUUGAUCGCCCACCAUCCAGUGUGAGAUUAGAGGCAAUGCAACAAGCUGAAGUUAUCUAUUGCAGAAAAGAUGAGUAGUUCGUGGCAUGUUUCCCAAAGGGAGCCAUAAGAGCAAUGAGUAGAUUUCCGUCUUGUACUAACUUGUAUAUGUAGUGAUUUAGCAAAGAUAGAUGAUCCUACUACUAUACAAUUAAGCAUUGACAAGUUAAACUCGAGGUUUUUUUAUAUUUUAUUUUCUUGUAUCAACCCUGAA